rnacentral:tRNA from 1 species
GCCUAAGUAGUUUAAUGGUUAAAACACUGAUCUCAUACGUUAGUUAUGAGAGUUCGAUUCUCUCCUCAGGCU